UACAGAGGGUGCGAGCGUUGUUCGGAAUUAUUGGGCGUAAAGGGCGCGUAGGCGGCGCGGUAAGUCGGGUGUGAAAUCUCGGAGCUUAACUCCGAAACUGCAUUCGAUACUGCCGUGCUUGAGGACUGGAGAGGAGACUGGAAUUUACGGUGUAGCGGUGAAAUGCGUAGAUAUCGUAAGGAAGACCAGUGGCGAAGGCGGGUCUCUGGACAGUUCCUGACGCUGAGGCACGAAGGUCAGGGGAGCAAACGGG
rnacentral:rRNA from 1 species